rnacentral:rRNA from 1 species
UUGGAGGGCAAGUCUGGUGCCAGCAGCCGCGGUAAUUCCAGCUCCAAUAGCGUAUAUUAAAGUUGUUGCAGUUAAAAAGCUCGUAGUUGAAUUUCAGGCCUGGCUGGACGGUCCGCCCUUCGGGUGAGUACUGUCUGUGGUCGGGUCCUACCUUCUGGCGAAGCGUCAUGGCCUUAACCGGCCGUGGCGGGGAACCAGGACUUUUACUGUGAAAAAAUUAGAGUGUUCAAAGCAGGCAAUCGCUUGGAUACAUUAGCAUGGAAUAAUGGAAUAGGACAAUGGUUCUAUUUGUUGGUUUCUAGGACCGUUGUAAUGAUUAAUAGGGAUAGUUGGGGGCAUUAGUAUUCAAUUGUCAGAGGUGAAAUUCUUGGAUUUAUUGAAGACUAACUACUGCGAAAGCAUUUGCCAAGGAUGUUUUCAUUAAUCAAGAACGAAAGUUAGGGGAUCGAAGACGAUCAGAUACCGUCGUAGUCUUAACCACAAACUAUGCCGACUAGGAAUCGGGCGAUGUUGAAAAAAUGACGCGCUCGGCACCUUAUGGGAAACCAAAG